GGAACCCUCAAAGUGUGACUGUAUAUGAUGCAGAAAAAUGGGGAAGUCUGGCUAAGGACUCUGUGAAUUGCAUGAAUAAGUCAUAAAUUCAUUAUAGGGAGGAAGAAAUGAGAUAAUGAAUAUAAGCCUUGCUACAAAGCCUGGAACAUAUUAGACACCAGUAAAUUAUAGCUGAAAAAGAUCCAUCAAAUACACAAAAAGGAACAGUUGUUUCUUAGUAUUUUGCAUCAAUUGACUGGAGAAAACCCUUCCAGACAGAAUUGAGUCUUCCAGGUAUUUAGCAAGCUGAAAGCUUCAAGAAAUGACUUUAGGAGUUAAUUGCUUUCCUGGUUAAAAUACAAACAUUUGAACUUCCAAAGUUUUUAUUACUUCAUAUAUUUUUUCCCUCUGCUUCAUUAAGAAAAGUUAUUUUCUUAAAAGUGACUGAAGUUUUAUAAACCUGUAAUCAUUGCACAUUAUAGAUGAUAAAUAUCUAUUCUGAUUGCUUUGGUGCAUCCAUGAUGUUGUUAAAUAGUAAGUACUCUUUUCAACUGAGCAAAGAAUAAUUAGUGGCUAAUGUUAGCGAAGUACAGAGAUGAUUAUAUUCUUUGAGACCUUUUCGUCAAAGGAUUUAAUAUAUAUUCUGCAUACUCAGAACAAAAAAAAAUGGUUCUGGUACAUACUCAGAACCAAAAAUAAAUAGCUCUUUUAAUUUCUUUUUCUAAUAAUUUUUACCUAUAGGCAUGAGUUAAGUCUUUACUACCUUCUGACAAAUAACUAAAUGUGUGGGUUUGGAAUUAUUACGUCUAAUAGAAAACACUUAAGGUAAUUAAUAUCUAUUAACAUAUACUGAACAUUCCAAGAAUUUACUGAACAUUAGUUGACACAAGGGUCUAGUAAAUAAUUCUAAAGUGUAUUUUCAUGAUUGAAAUGAGAGGACAAUAAGAUAGGAACUGAAGUGUCUCUAGUGCUUGUGGGAAGUGGUAGAGGAGGCAGGAUAAUGAAAGAAAGAGUUCAAAAGCGAGAACAGGGGUACUGCGUGGGAGGAGACAGGUAGGAAUAACAGCAUAGUGUAGUGCGGUAACCAUGAGCUUUGGAAUCAGGCAGUUCUGGGCUUGACAUCUAGUUGUGUAACCUCUGGGUCACAUUGUCUUCACUUACAAAUACAAUUUUCAUCAUGUUGAAAUUGCAAUAAUAUUAUAACACAGAUAACAAUAACUAUAGCUUACUGAGUGUGCCAUAUACUUGGCAUUGUGCUAAGUAAUCACUGUAUAUUCUGCAGGAGAUUUUAAGGGAUGUAAAAUGCAUAGAACGUUCCUGUUCUGUUCUUUCUAAUUUUCCCUUUACACCUUACAACAGAAUAAUAUAUAAGAAAAGGUUACAAUAUACAAAAUAUAUUGAUUAUAAGCAUGUAAUUCUGUCAUAGGGUAGAAAUUCUGUAUUUCUAAUGAAUUGUGUGAAAAAUGAUGGUUUUUAAGAAGAUGGCAAAAGUAGUGGCGUGGAAAGAGGCUUUGGAGCCCGGAAUCCCACCUCUGCUUCUUCAAGCUGUAUGGCAGUUCCCUGAGCACUCACACCCCCAGCCCCAGACCCAUCUUGAGACCAGCCAUGCCUAUCACUGGGAUUUGUACAUGACAGGGGUUUUCAGGGAGACUGCUGAUGAAGCCUAUUGGGGCUCACUCUGCGAAGUGUCAAAUAGACAAGCUUGGCCCUGCAUCAAAGCCUUAGUAUGGGAAGGGUGGAGACUCUGUCACUUUUCUGUGUCCCCGACCCAGCCCCUCUCAUCUCUGGAUAUUAAGGAGAAAGGAGGAUAGGAAUAAAAAUAAAAAGAACUAUUUUCACAAAAGGCUUUGUAAGACAUUGGUAUGCAGUGUAAUAUCUUCUUUGUACUCCUCUGAGAGAUUUAUAUAAAGAGGAGAGUGAGGUCAUCCUCUCCCACUUCAAGAACAGUACACGGCUUUUACAGUUUGAGAAAUCCCAGCUGUGGUGAGUGGUUGAUGCAGCAGUACUCAGUGAGGCGGCGGAAGUGGAGGAAAAGUUUAAAACAAGGUAGAUGCCCUGUGAUAACUCACUGGGCUCUCUAGUAAGCACUGGGCUUAUUGGUAAAGACAUCUAGUAAGGUGCUCUUGAGGUUGCACACAAGUGAUCGAGGAGUUUGACACAAAGAUGGGAUCCUACAUCACAACUGAGGGCAAGAGACAGUAAAAUCAGAGUUAACAUCUAGUGUGCUUCUUUGCAUUUCUUAUAAAUAUUCUUGUUGUGUUGAUACAGGCAUAGAAUGAAAAAAAUUAAAUUAACCGUUGUUGCCUUUUUUUCCUUUUGGCUCUUGGAAUUCACCCAGCUUCUUUGCCAGAAUUGUUUAUAUGAUUAGAAACCUCUUACUGUCCUAAUGACUACUACUAAAAUCAUCACUUAUACACACACUACUUCAAAUUUCUGCUUGAUUGGACUAUGUUCUCAUCGGAAUUGGCUAUGCAUGGACCAUGGCUUUCGAAGCAAUUUAAAAUGUGUCCAAAGUAUAAAGUGUCUAUUCAUGCUACAAGUAUAGAUCAAUUGAGAAAGAUUUGUAGUGAGUUUUAAUCAGUGGGUUAUGGAUGUGUGAGGACCUAGGUAUUGCAAGCCCUCAGAAAAGUUAUGUGCACAGCAAGAAUUAUAAAAUAAUUUUCCAUGAAUAUAAUUUACUAC
rnacentral:lncRNA from 10 species